rnacentral:misc_RNA from 1 species
AACGCACCUUGCGCCCUUUGGCUAUUCUGAAGGGCAUGCCUGUUUGAGUAUCAUGAACAUCUCAACUCUCACGGUUCGCCGUGAUGAGCUUGGACUUUGGGGGUCUUGCCGGCCUGCGGGUUGGCUCCUCUCAAAUUGAUCAGCUUGCCAGUGUUUGGUGGCAUCACGUGUGUGAUAACUAUCUACGCUCGUGGUUCUCCGCCAGGUAACCUUCGGUGACGGAGGUUCGCUGGAGCUCACAAACGUCUCUCCUCAGUGAGGACAGCUUUUUAACGUUUGGUCUCAAAUCAGGUAGGACUACCCGCUGAACUUAA